CCCCGGCGCGUCCGCGGGGCGGGGGCGACCGGCGGGCGGGCGGGCGGACGCUGGCCGCGCUCGGGAGGGACCGAGGUCGGCGACCGCUGCGGAGGAGGCCUCGCUCUGCGGGGUUCUUCGCUCUCAGCUGGCAGAGAAUGGGGGAGAUAGCGGGGACCUACAGAGUCCUGCAGGCAGCCGGGGCACGCCUCGGCACCCAGGCCCCAGGGGGUGUGAGCACCCUUGAGCCUGGGCAGAAGCUUCCACCCAGAGUGCAGGAGAAGCAGCUACAGGUCGGAGUGAAGCUGCUGGACGGCACCGUAGAAGCGUUCAGCAUUGAGCCCAAGAGCGAUGGCCAGACUUUGCUGAACCUCGUGUGGAGGCGCUUGAAUCUGACCGAGUGUGACUACUUCGGGCUGGAGUUUCAGAGUGCCCAAGGCUGCUGGGUCUGGCUGGAACCUGUGAAACCCUUCGGCCGGCAAGUGCCCAGACCAAGGACCACAGUGCUUCGCCUGGCUGUAAAAUUUUUCCCUCCUGAUCCUGGUCAGUUGCAGGAAGAAUACACAAGGUACUUGUUCGCCCUGCAGCUCAAGAGAGACCUGCUGGAGCAACGUUUGGUCUGUGCCGACACCACCGCAGCCCUGCUCACAUCCCAUCUUCUGCAGUCUGAAAUCGGGGAUUAUGACGAAAUCCUGGACCGGGAGCACCUCAAAGCCAGCGAGUACCUGCCCAGCCAGGGGCGCUGUCUCCACAGGAUCCUGGAGCUGCACCAGCAGCACAUGGGCCAGACUCCAGCCGAGUCAGACUUCCAGCUGCUUGAGAUCGCCCGCAAGUUGGACCUAUACGGCAUCAGAUUCCAUGCGGCCUCUGACAAAGAGGGUGCCAAGAUUAACCUGGCUGUCUCCCACAUGGGCAUCCUUGUGUUCCAGGGCACCACCAAGAUCAACACGUUCAACUGGUCCAAGGUCCGCAAGCUGAGCUUCAAGAGGAAGAGGUUCCUCAUCAAGCUCCAUCCAGAGGUGCAUGGGCCUUACCAGGACACGCUGGAGUUCAUUCUGGGGAGCAGAGAUGAAAGCAAGAGCUUCUGGAAGCUGUGCGUGGAGCACCACACCUUUUUCAGACUCGCCGACCAGCCAAAGCCCAAGACCAAAGCCGUCCUCUUCAGCCGCGGCUCCUCCUUCAGAUACAGUGGUAGAACUCAGAAGCAACUGGUGGAUUACAUCAAAGACGGGGGCAUGAGGAGAACACCAUACGACAGGAAACACAGUGCACCGCAUGUUUCUGUACGUGUUCUGACUGCAGACCUGCCAAGACAGAGCAUCUCCUUGACCGAGGGCAUGAGGACGCCUGCCUUGCCGACUCCAGCAGGCACCUCCUUUAGCCGGCUCCCCGCCUCCCCCAGCCCGCCUCCUGGCCAGCCUGAGCUCCCGGAUGCCCAGGCCCCUCACAGCAAUGGAGCAGCGGAGCACAACCCGGACGUACCGCAGCCUGGUCCAGGCCUUCCCACGGACAGUCCUCUGCCUUCUCGCUCCAGCCAGAAGAGCCAGCUGGGCCUGAGCCCCACAUCUCAGGGGACUCUGGGCUCUGCUGAGCAGGGCUCAUUCCCCCUCCUGAGUCCUGUCCUUAGCGACGCUGGAGCCGGCAUGGACAAUGAGGAGGAGCCAAAGCACAAGCGUCUGCCAGAAGACAAGGCCUACUUCAUAGCCAAGGAGCUGCUCGCCACAGAGCGCACUCACCUCAAGGAUCUUGAAGUCAUCACUGUGUGGUUCCGCAGCGCCUUGGCCAAGGAGGAGACCGUUCCCACAACCCUAAUGACCCUGCUCUUCUCCAACAUGGACCCUGUCUACGAGUUCCAUAGGGCCUUCCUGCAGGAGGUGGAGCAGCGCCUGGCACUCUGGGAAGGACCCUUCGAUGCUCACCAGCGAUUAGGGGACAUCUUGCUCAGGAACAUGCGUCAGUUACAGGAGUUUACCAGCUACUUCCAAAAGCAUGAUGAGGUCCUGACAGAACUGGAAAAGGCCACCCGGUGCUCUAAGAAGCUGGAGGCAGUGUACAAGGAGUUUGAGCUCCAGAAAGUCUGCUACCUGCCUCUCAACGCAUUCCUGCUGAAGCCUAGCCAGCGGCUGGUGCACCUGCGUCUGCUGCUGAGCCGGCUGUGUGAGCACUACCCACCUGGGCACCAUGACUACGCUGAUUGCCACAGUGCUCUGCAGGCUGUCUCUGAGGUGACCACUGCGCUGCAGCACAACCUCACCCGCCUUGAGAACUCCCAGAAGCUGGCGGAGCUGCAACGGGCCCUGGUCGGCAUAGACAACCUUGCUGCGCCCGGCAGGGAGUUCAUCCGUGAGGGCUGCCUACACAAGCUCACGAGAAAGGGGCUACAGCAGAGGAUGGUCUUUCUGUUCUCAGAUAUGCUGCUGUACACAAGCAAAGGUGUCCCAGGGAGCAGCCACUUCCGGAUACGCGGCCUCCUCCCACUCCACGGCAUGCUGCUGAUAGUGCUGGACCCACCGGUGGAGGAGGUUCAAAGUGAGGGUGGCCCACACUGUUUUACCAUCUAUGCAGCUCAGAGGACACUGGUGCUGGCAGCCAGCACGCGGCUGGAAAAGGACAAGUGGACGCGAGACCUCAGUACUGCAAUCCAGGCAGCCAACAGCAGCAGCAGCAACCCAGCCCUGGCACUGCCAGCUAGCACCAUGCGCACAUCAGGGCCCUCAUCUUCCAGUGAGGUCUCCGAGGAACAGGAGGCAGAAGUAGCAGCUUGGAGCACCCAAAGCCCACACCGGGUCAACACCACGGUGCACGUGUGCUGGUACCGGAACACAAGUGUGUCCAGAGCUGACCACAGUGCAGCUGUCGAGAACCAGCUCUCGGGGUACCUGCUGCGCAAGUUCAAGAACAGCAGUGGCUGGCAGAAGCUCUGGGUCGUCUUCACCAACUUCUGUCUGUUCUUCUACAAAAGCCACCAGGUGUGGGCCAGCAUCACCUGUGCACCCAUCCUCCCCACCUGGAGCACACGAGGGUGCAGGGGACACCCUCAUCAACAGGGACCCUGCCCCACCACUUGCACUGGCAUUCGAGAGGGCGGUCUGGGAUGGUGGGCUCCCGAACCUGAGUUCUGUGUGGCCUCCAGGACACCUGCCCCCUGGCCAGCCUCCCAUUGCUGGGCUACAGUGUGAGUGUCCCCAGGGAAGCUGACAGCAUCCACAAGGACUACGUCUUCAAGCUGCAGUUCAGAUCCCACGUCUACUUUUUCCGGGCUGAAAGCAAGUACACAUUUGAAAGGUGGAUGGAGGUGAUCGGGAGCGCCAGCAGGUCGCAGGAUGCACAGCAGGCCAGGGACUGCAGUGCGUCCUGCCUGGAUGAGGACAUCCUAGACAAGGAGCCCAACAGCAGCUGCCACUUGUCCA